rnacentral:lncRNA from 10 species
GAGGUGGGCAAGUUAGUUGCUCCAAAAACAAGAUAAAAUGAUUGAGUUCUUUUCUCAAGCGGGAGUCGGAGUUUAUCUGCUCUGAGAGCCCCAGCAGCUACUAUUAAUGAGUGUCUGGAAUAUGUUCCUGGCAUUUCACCUACCCUCUCUCCAAUCCUUCCAAGAAACUCACAAAGCAGGGCUUUUUCUUGAACUUCUCUUCCUCACAACAGUUAAAUCAUCCAUUUAAAGAUGUCAAACAACCUCCGUGUUCUAAGAUGCUGGACCCCUGAAUAUGGAGGGCCAACUACACUAGAAACACACACGCUAGCUGAGAAAGAUGGUGGCUUAAGGGACACAGCAUGUACAACCUCACAUAGAGUUCCUGACCAGACAAGACUUGCUGGAAAUUUCCCAGGAUCUUCCUUCCUUAAGCAUCCAUCAUGGGAAGCCACCUUGCCCUAGGGAGAGCUCCUGACCUAGGGUCAGGAAUAUAUUAAGGAAGACAGCAAUUAAUACAUUCAAAAAUAAUAAUAAUUACAAAUUAUGUCUCUGUGUUAGGAAAACUUGGAUAAGCAGGUCCAUAGAAAUUCCUCUGCUAGCCCUGUCUCCUGGAAUUUCUACAUAAUGGCAUAUCCUCAGUUUGAAUAGCUCUCUGGUUCCAGUUUGAAGCUGAAAAGGUUAAAUUCUACCUGAAGGAUGAAAACAACCAACAUUCUGUGCCA